rnacentral:rRNA from 1 species
UACGUAGGUGGCAAGCGUUGUCCGGAUUUAUUGGGUUUAAAGGGUGCGUAGGCGGCCUUAUAAGUCAGUGCUGAAAUAUCCCGGCUUAACCGGGAGGGUGGCAUUGAUACUGUAGGGCUUGAGUGGAGUCGAAGUAGGCGGAAUUGACGGUGUAGCGGUGAAAUGCUUAGAUAUCGUCAAGAACACCGAUAGUGAAGACAGCUUACUAGGCUUUAACUGACGCUGAGGCACGAAAGUGUGGGGAUCAAACAGG